rnacentral:rRNA from 1 species
GACGAACGCUGGCGGCGUGCCUAACACAUGCAAGUCGAACGGAGUUCCCCUUCGGGGGGACUUAGUGGCGAACGGGUGAGUAACGCGUGAGAAACCUGCCUUCUAGUGGGGGACAACAGUUGGAAACGACUGCUAAUACCGCAUAACACUAUAGUACCGCAUGGUACAUUAGUCAAAGCUUUAUGUGCUAGAAGAUGGUCUCGCGUCUGAUUAGCUAGAUGGCGGGGUAACGGCCCACCAUGGCGACGAUCGGUAGCCGGACUGAGAGGUUGAACGGCCACAUUGGGACUGAGACACGGCCCAG